GACAGAGGUGCCGAGCGUUAGGCGGAAUCACUGGGCUUAAAGCGUGUGUAGGCGGGCGGGCAAGUACCUUGUGAAAUCCCACGGCUCAACCGUGGAACGGCUGGGUAUACUGCCUGUCUUGAGCCAACUAGGGGCGAGCGGAACAGACGGUGGAGCGGUGAAAUGCGUAGAUAUCGUCUGGAACGCCAAAGGUGAAAACAACUUGCUGGGGGUGUGCUGACGCUGAGACACGAAAGCCAGGGGAGCAAACGGG
rnacentral:rRNA from 1 species